rnacentral:rRNA from 1 species
CAACCUGCCCAUCAGACUGGGAUAACAGUUGGAAACGACUGCUAAUACCGGAUAGGUAAAUUGAAGGCAUCUUUGAUUUAUUAAAGUUUAGAGACACUGAUGGAUGGGCUUAUGGCGCAUUAGCUAGUUGGUGAGGUAACGGCCCACCAAGGCGAUGAUGCGUAGCCGACCUGAGAGGGUGACCGGCCACAUUGGGACUGAGACACGGCCCAAACUCCUACGGGAGGCAGCAGUAAGGAAUUUUCGGCAAUGGGCGCAAGCCUGACCGAGCAACGCCGCGUGAGUGAAGAAGGCCCUAUGGGUUGUAAAGCUCUGUUGUAAAGGAAGAACACUAUUGAAGAAUCAGUAGCUGACGGUACUUUACCAGAAAGCCACGGCUAACUACGUGCCAGCAGCCGCGGUAAUACGUAGGKGGGCARGCGUUWUCCSGAAWUWUUGGGCGUAAARGGUGCGCAGUCGGCUGAUUAAGUUUGUGGKGAAAGKGCGGGGCUUUAACUCCGUAUGGCCAUGNAAAACUGGUUAGCUAGAGUGCAGAAGAGGGUAGUGGAAUUCCCUGUGUAGCGGUAAAAUGCGUAGAUAUAUGGAGGAANCACCAGUGGCGAAGGCGGGCUACCUGGUCUGUAACUGACGAUGAGGCACGAAAGCGUGGGGGAGCAAAUAGGAUUAGAUACCCUAGUAGUCCACGCUGUAAACGAUGAAUANUAAGUGUUGGGGAAACUCAGUGCUGCAGUUAACGCAAUAAGUAUUCCGCCUGGGGAGUAUGCACGCAAGUGUGAAACUCAAAGGAAUUGACGGGGGCCCGCACAAGCGGUGGAUUAUGUGGUUUAAUUCGAUGCAACGCGAAGAACCUUACCAGGUCUUGACAUCCUGACAAAGGCCUCAGAGAUGAGGAGAUAGAUAUGUCAGAGACAGGUGGUGCAUGGUUGUCGUCAGCUCGUGUCGUGAGAUGUUGGGUUAAGUCCCGCAACGAGCGCAACCCUUGUCUUUAGUUNCCAUCAUUAAGUUGGGGACUCUAGAGAGACUGCCGGUGACAAACCGGAGGAAGGUGGGGAUGACGUCAAAUCAUCAUGCCCCUUAUGACCUGGGCUACACACGUAAUACAAUGGCGUAUACAGAGGGAAGCGAAGUAGUGAUAUGGAGCGAAACUCACAAAGUACGUCUCAGUUCGGAUUGAAGUCUGCAACUCGACUUCAUGAAGUUGGAAUCGCUAGUAAUCGCGGAUCAGCAUGCCGCGGUGAAUACGUUCUCGGGCCUUGUACACACCGCCCGUCAAACCAUGAGAGUUGGUAAUACCCGAAGC